AGCUGCAUGGACUAAUUCUUGUGGAGUUUUCAGGGAGGCGUUUAGAAAUUACAUCUUGAAUAGAAGAUGCCCUUAGCUUUCAACAACUACCACCUACAUACAUGAGAUGUUCAUUUGUGGUUGCAUGUGAGGGCAUGGUUGUAGCUGAUUUGCAAGAGCCAACAGGAGCUUAUGCAUUAGAUAAUUCUUUCACUUUCAUUCAUGUGCUCCUUUUCUUUCGUUCUCACUCUAUUUUGAUAGGGGGAGCAUGUAUGUUGUAAAUACUCAACUUUGACUUUAAUUAAUGCUGGCAUGUUCCUGAAAUAUGGUUUCAUAUGAGUUUGUAGGUGUUCUAGUGAGGACAUUCAUGUUGCUCUGCUGCCUGUAGAUGAUGUUCAUGCAUUCUGGAGUCCCAUCACUAACUGGUGGUUUUGGAAGCCAUGGCUUUUCACACUUUUUUUUUAAGGGAUUGGUUUGAAUAGGUACUAAUAUGGUAAUUGCCUGUUCAAGACAGAGGUGCUUUGGAUCAGGGAAAAUGCAGCCCAGGCCCUUUUACAAUGACAGGAGUAUGUACCUUUGCAUAUGUGUACAUAAUACAAGUUGCUAUCCAUGUGGUUCAUACUGCUAUGGUAGUUCAUCUGGCAGAUCACUUAAAUAUUUACUCCAAAAGAUCUUGUUCUCUGUUGGUGUGAAGCAGCAUUUCCAGUUAUUUUUAGGUCCUUUUCAUCUUAGCAACCCUGUUGGAGAUAAACCAGACACAAGUGCUGUAAACUGUCCCUGCAUUUGGGUAGAAAUUAAUAAAAUAAAGUUUAAUGGUUUGGUCCCAAGGGGAGAACAGACCAUCUGGUUAACAGAAGGUUAGGCCAAGUAAUACAGCGCUGAGAGUGCCACAAACCAACCCAGAAUAUCUGGUAGUGUGUCCAGUUGCUGCAUCUAUUAAGCACUGAAAUGGUGCUUUCAGAUCUGCAGAGCCAGCAGUUCUGUUACCACUGCUGUGACGCAGGAGAUAAUUCUGUUGGGCAAGCAUCAGCAUGGGGGUGGAUCUACAGUACAGGAUGUGUAAUGUCAACAUGAAGCAUGGGAGCUGGCAGUAAGAAGGAAAGCAGCCAUUUCAUGCCAGUGCAGGAAGCCGAAAUAGAUUUUUCCCCUCUGCAUCUUGUCCUUUUAUGCUGCUUUCAUACUUGGUAUUAAACGAUUACCUUCUGCUUUGUCAUCUGAAAACUUCAGCCCGGCAGGGUUUAAUUUCUUUCUGGUUUUGAACCUGUUUGGUUUUUUUUUAAACAAGUGAAGUGCACUCCAAAAGCAUGUCUGAUGGAUUAUAAAAGGGGCUGGGGGGAGGCUGAAGGGCUAAGCAGAUCUGGAGAAAGAACAGUUCAGUCAUGUGAAAGUCCUGAGCUUCAGAUGAAGUUUCAUUGUACAUCCUUUUGGCUUUAGUGCAGAGACAGUUUGUUCAAAAGCUGUAACCAUUUGAGAACAUUGUACUGCAGCUGGGAAAUGCAGAAAGAUGCUGUUCUGUGGUAGCCCUGCAAAGGUAUGACUUUCUUCAUACGUUCCUAAGAACUGGAGUGGGAGUGUGGGAGUAGUCAACCCACAGUAACUUCAUCUUUACGCAGUCCUCCUUGCUCCAUUGGCCCCAUUCAGGAGAUUUUUUGGUUGAAGCUAUGGGAGUCUAGCACUUCUGCAUAGGACACUUGAAAAGAAAUCGCACUGAAGAAUUAUGUGAAACUCAAACACCAUCUCUCAGGGUAGAACUUUUUCUUGGUUCCAUAAAUAACUCCAAGUUGUGGUAGCUGUUUCAGCAUCAAAAGUAUUAAGCAUGCAAGCAAACCAAGAUACUUUUUCUAAAAUCAUGUUAAGUCCUGUAUGUAUCUCAGCAAGAUCAAGGGGAAAACAGGACCUGACGAAUUUAGUCAGAGACUGACUUGCAACCUUUAAUAUCAGUCCUUUUUUUCAAACUGUACAAGUGUUUGGAGUUGACUCUCAUCUGGGAAGUAAUUUGCCAUCCUCUGAAAGGAAAGCAUGGAAGGAGGCAGAGAGAUGGUAACUCUAGUGAUGGUAUCCUUCCCCACAAGCACUACAAAGGCAAAUUCCUGUGUUCUUUGCUGAAAUUCUGGGAGCAGAUUAAUGAUGGGAUGGGUUCUGCUCACAGGUAAGAUGAAGAAAUUAUUGGAACCGGUUCCUGAUGUUCAAUGACCCAUGCAUGACUGUGGAGCAUUCUUCAUCUCUUAACAUCUGACCUAGAUGCCUUUACACUUCGGGAUGGCUGUUCAGAGCCUGUCAUGUCCAGUAGCUGCCUAACUUGGGUGACCUUGUGGCUUUAAAGAAAAUCCUGUGGAACUGUUAGUUUCAACCUCAGUGAAGGACACAUUGAAGAGCUAGCUCAUUAAGCAAGCUUUGAAGGGUGUGCUCUGCAGAGCAGCUUCCUGUUAUUUGGUUAAUGGUUGACCUAGUUCUGUUGCCAUAUGCCUCCUGGAACGCAUUCUAAUAUAAAAUAUGUGCUAAAGCAAGACUGGGAUAAUAGAAGGAAAGUCAAAGCCUUUACAAAACAGAAACUAUAUAAUGCUGUUGCAUUUUGGAGGGUAUUGUAGUUACUAAAAAUGCCAAUACCUUCAUGGAACUGUAUUGGUUCUGCUUGCAAACUCAGGAGUGUUAAUCAGACUCAUUUAUGUAUUUUUUUCAGACUGGCCUUGUACAAAAGGUUUGUAUCAGUAAUUCCCUGUGCUCCAUAUGUGAAGCUAAAGUUAGGGAGUGAAGCACUCAGUGGUAUUACAGCUGUGAGGAAAGAUUAGAUUAGAUUUGGCUAAAGGCAGGAGGAUUUUUCCCCCGUGGUAGGUGUUUUUUUCAUUGCAAACCAUGGAUUAGCAAAUUUUUUUCCUCUUUAAAUCCUGGCUAGAAGCCAGAAAUGGGGAUUCAGGCUUUUACCUGAUAUCAGAGACGACACAGCAUGCAUACUUACACUUAGGCAAAAAUAUAAGAAAUUUGGAGGUACUAGAUAAAGUUCAACCUCCAACCUGAAUGACUACUUUCUGACAGGCUGAAGUUCUGAAGAACCUGUGGGCUGUGUUUUCUGGUUAAUUUGAUUUUCUGCCCUAGGAAAAGGAAGGGAUUGUUUUCGUAAGUAGUGUGCAUUAUGGUAGAACAGGGGGAACGGAAAAUUAAAGCCAUGCUUUGUAACCUUUUGAGAGCUCAUGACUCUAUCAGUAGAUAUGGUGAUUUAUUAUUCUUCUGUCAGUGUGGGAAACUGAACUGCUUACCAGACGUACCGCUUUGAAUAUUCAUUUAACCUGGCAGUGGCUAACCUGUGUCUCUUCAGUUGCAGAUGGCUUGCAAGCAGUCCAGGUGUGAAUUCUGGGCAAAGUAUUCUAACUGGAGGAGUUAGAAGUCAAUGGAAGAACAAAGCAGUUCAGGAAUAAAGAAGGAGAAAGAAGUCAGCUGUUUCCUCUGUUUCUUGGUUUUGGAAUGAUGACUAAUUUAACCUGUAAGUAACACUGAGAUUAGUGGCUGUAUUCCAUUGUGAAAUGCAAGUAAAGUUAGGGUAAGAAGGUAACUUCCUCUUGGCAAACAGUUCCCUCUCCAUUUCUCUCCCAUAUUCUGUGUAAAAUCUUUUGUCCCAGGCAUGGGUGCAAAGGAGCCUUCUUGUCUUUAACUUGAACGUUUCCUUUCUUCUAGUAAUCAAGCCUACAGAUACAGCCCCUGUGUGCUCAGCUGAAAAGUAAACCACUUUUUUUUUUGACAGUGAAGCUUCACUGCCAAAAUGAUCUUGUACUGCAGGUGGCUAGAGGUAUAUGAUGCAAGUUAGUUUGUCAGCUUUGGAACACAUCUCAAGGGCAGGCUUUUCAGGAAGGUUGAACUGUAGCACCAGUCCUGUGAUUAGCAAGUCUGGUUCUGCCUCCUUCAACUUCUGAGACCUUGAAGAUCCAUUGCAGGUUCUGCUUUCAGUGACCAGCAUGCCAAAUAUCUUCAUAAGAAAUGAAAGACCAGCUCCCUUGACUUCAGAGCUACCUUGAAGAUACACAUCACCAGCAUCACUCUCUGUUAGGAUGUGGAAAUAGCAGAUGAUUAGUUUGCAUCUUUCUAGAAGACCUGGAGAAGGAGAGGCCUAUGGAGGAGGUAGUAGAUAGACCAGGAAGAAUUACUUAUGGCAGAAAAGCAGAAAUUUAAGAUUUAAUGCCAGGAAUACAGCUUGGAAGGUGAGGUAAGUUAUAUUAGAAAGGAAUGAUCUUUUGAAAGAAAAAGUGGCACUACUCAGACAAACAGUCUAAGAAAAUUGGAAGAUACAAUUCUUGAUCACUUCUGAGGCAGACAGGGAUGAAGAAGGUGAAAGAUUUAACCCUUUUUUGCCUGCUUCCCCAAAAUGCUGAUGUCAUAAGAACUUCCAGACUUUGCUUGAUAACUGGGAGCUGGGCUGACAAGGGUGGGAGGUCAGAGUUCCUCCAGUGGCCUGGUGUGAAGCAGCUGUGCACAGUCUUACCUGUCUGUAUGCUGCCUCAAGCUGGUGUGCUAAAAGAUUGGAGCCUACACUUUUGACUGCAUGGAGUGGGCAGAUGCAGUUUCCAGAAAAAAAACUGAUCCCCAGAUGCUUCUCAUUGUAAACGCAAACUGGAUUUUAGGGAGGCUUCUUCCAGCUGCAGCAAGCAUGUUUGUAUGUCUCAGCUGACAGCUACAGGGGAAAAAAAAAACAAAGAAGAGGUGCUACCACUUUGUAUCUUUGCCCAGGAAAAGUAACAGUCACAGCUGCCCAUGACACACUUGGCUUUUGGCAGAGCUCAGGCUGGUUCUGCUCUGCAGACAUAGGAUGAAGCAUGCUCAGUAUGCUUCCUUCAACAGGAAUGCCAGCAGUAUCUUGGAUUACUACAGAGACUGCUCUGUCUGUGAGCUCCUUCUGCAGAGUUCAGGUUCACAUUAAACAGUAUCAGGAGUUCUCAGUAGGCUGUGCAUGGCUGUCGGCACAGGCUAAUCCCAUUUUUUGGAAAGUUGUAUUUUCUUAGACAUCCAGACUCUCAAACUGGGACAUUUAUUUUAUUGAAGUUUUUCAGAGAAACCAUACUAGCUUUACAUGCUAGUUGAACAUACACUGAAGGUGAUGCUGUAGCCUAAAGUUUUUGUAGGACUUGGUUCUCUUACAGUCUGAAUGUUUUUUUUUUUUUAAAUCCUUAAAAUACCUGGAUCUUGUUUGUGGUAAUGUCCUAACAAUGAAGGGUAGGUGCAACUGUCAGCAUGUGAAAACUAAUUGCUCGGUUUGUUCUCAUAAAUUUUGUUAGCCAGUGUGGAGUGGAAGUGUGCACACGCUUUGUGGCUCUAGCUAGCACGUGUGAAAGAGAAGUCUGAUUAAAUCAAACUUCCUCUUCUUUGGUCAUGAAUAUCUCCUGCAUACAGAAGACAUUGAAGAAGACUUAGAGUGUUCCUCUUACAAAUAAUUUUAUUAAGGUGCUAUAAAGAAGAUUCCCUUUGAUGACUUCUGGUAAGUUUUGAUGGGUUUUUUGUCCAGACAUUUGUUAGAACAGAAGAAUUAUUAAUAUGUUGCCCAUUAUUUAGAAAAGUUUGGGAAAAGAGUGGAAGGAUUCAGCAGUUUGGGCAAAAUCGUAUUAAGAGAAAAGCCUUUCAAGCCAUGUAAGAAUUUCAGCUUUUCUAGCUCUCAAUCCUUCAGAACAAAUAUCCUUACUCACCCCCAUAUAAAGCUCCCUUUUUGGAUAGUCACCCUUUUUUCCAUGUCCCUCCUCCUACUGUGAUCUCGAGCAAUAUGAGGGUUAGACCAUGUUCACCAUCCCUAAACUCUGUCUACCCUUGUAUUCUUCUCAGCUCUGCAGACGUUUUGCUGAGUUGACCUAAAUUCUUCAGCAAAAGGCCUGGAUUCUGUGCAGAAAGCUGGAAAUGGCAACUCCAAUUAAGAAGUAAAUAUGAAGAUAAAUAAAGAGCAUCAGUAAUAUCCUUGUGUGUGGUGUAUGAUUUACCCCUGCUCCUGAAAUUUUAACUUCCACUGUGCUGGAGAACCUUUCAUUUGUAGUUGUGAGAAGUUAGGACUGGGAUUUCAGGGACAGUGGCACAGAAAGGUAGCGUGCCAUAACGGCGAAGGGUUGGAGACUGGAAACCAGCUUCUGCUCCUGGCUGUGCCACAGACCAGCUGUGCAACCUGGAGCCAGGCUACUUCACUUCCUGUGCUUCUCCAUUACCAGCUAAAGGAAGAAGGUUCUCCGUGAUGCAGACUCACUCACCUUGUUUUUCACACAGAGGGAGCCUUCAACAGUGUGGCCUGAAGCUGCAUGAGUCAAAUAAAUAGGUAGUAACUGCAUGGAAUAGGGUGUCAGUAUUGCUACUUGAUAUAUUUAAUUCUGCCUUUUUGUUCCUUACAUAUUGCCUACAGGUUGUGAGUCUUCAGAUUUUGUUCAAUAAUUUGAAGCUGUCUGAAAACCAGGGGAAUACUUCAGUCUUUUCUCUCUCUGAGAGCAAGUCACUUCCGCUGACUUAAAUGACUUGUGAUAACGGAAUGGAAACCUGAAACAUCCGAUACUGUCUUUUGUCUUGCUUUGGUGUUCCAUAAACAGCAGAAGGAAAAAUGAAAUUUCUGCAGGACUGAUUGUAUACUUUUGGCAUAGACUCUUUUGUCAAUGAAGUCCUAAAUUAAUGUGAAUCUUUCACUCUGCAUACAUUCCUGCAAACAAGAACCCACGCUUGAAUGAAUGCUGGUUGCAAGAAACAAAAAAGUACAAAUGCCUUUUAUUGAAAUGAGUUUUAAAGGGAAAAAGAGUCUAGAACUGACCACAAAACACAUUGCAUUCUUCCUUUUUUCUCUUCCAUAGUGUUAAAGGAUGUUAGCUAAUAUAAAUGCAGUGCCUCAAAAUACUCUUUGUAUUAUGUAUUUUGGUGUCAUGAGGUUCAUGUAUGCCUCUUUUGGGAUGAAAAAACAGGGAGGAGAUUGACCUGACUGGCAAGUGGUGUUGCUGAAUGCUGUGUCUGAAGGGCUGUUCAUUUAGCUGGACUCUUACUGAAAAGAGACAUGUGUUGUUUAUCUCUGUGAUUGUCCAUGUCUCCUCUCCAUGUGUAGUUGAAAAGAUGCUUCCUGUCCUUUUCAAGCAGCAUAAAUCUGAGGACACACAAUUUUACAACAGUUGAGUCUAUGGUCUUUGUGGUUUAGGGUUUUUUUUCUCAAUUGCUUGUUUCCAUCUUUGUUCCUUUAGUAAGAAGAAGAAAAAAGAAUAUAUGGUUGUGCUUUGAAGUAAUCCUGCUGUAUUUUAAAACCUCUUGAACUGGAGGAUUCAAUGACACUUUAUCUACCUGAAGUAUUUAUGUGUACCUCUAGGAAAAGCACUAAGUUGGGAAGUUUGUAACUUCUUUCCCUUUCAGUCAAACUUUGUUUCCUUUAUUUAAGUGGUUCUAUAAUCAUCAAUAAAACCAAUUUCAAUUAUGUACCUCUUUGCUUUGGAACUGUAGAACAUAGCAUGUGUGUCUUUGUCAUUACCAUAGGUGAAUAUUCUUUCUCUUUUUUGAAAACAUUGUGAGCCAGAUGACUGUUCCUUUGCUUUCAGAACAUUACUUCUGAAG